CAGUAGCCGCGGGAAUACGGAGGGGGCUAGCGUUGUUCGGAAUUACUGGGCGUAAAGCGCACGUAGGCGGCUUGGUAAGUUAGAGGUGAAAGCCUGGAGCUCAACUCCAGAAUUGCCUUUAAGACUGCCGAGCUAGCAGGUGAGAGAGGUAAGUGGAAUUCCGAGUGUAGAGGUGAAAUUCGUAGAUAUGCGGAGGAACACCGAUGGCGAAGGCAAUCCCCUGGACCUGUACUGACGCUCAUGCACGAAAGCGUGGGGAGCAAACAGGAUUAGAUACCCCUGUAGUCCCUGUCUCUUAUAC
rnacentral:rRNA from 1 species